ensembl:misc_RNA 7SK 7SK RNA
GGAUGUGAGGGUGAUCUUAGUCCAACAUCUGAUCACCCCAUUGAUCAGCAGGCUUGAUUCCGCUGAUCUGGUUGUCUAGGCAGGUGUCCCCUUCCUCCCUCACCGCUUCAUGUGCACCCCCUACCCCCCAUCCCUGCUCUGGGUAAACUAGAACGACCUUCCCCAAAUAGACACUGAUGAGUCUUUGGUUGAGGGAAUAUGAGUAGCUACAUUUCCCUUCUAGAACUUCCAAACAAGCUUUCAGGAACUGACUGAUAGAGUUUUGUGAUUCCGUUGAGGAAAAGAUGCACUGAUGUGGUGUGGUGUGUUCU